rnacentral:lncRNA from 1 species
UACAAGAUCACAUUAGACAACAAUUUGGAUUCAACAAAAUGGAGUAUCACAUCUCACUUGGGCGGCCAAUAAAUGUGAGAUAGGGCCUAGACACUACAAAAGUUUGGAAUGAGGAUUGGAUAGGGGCUGCGCGAACGCAGGCCCCCGCUACCACAAAUUAUGACGUAGGCUCGACCACUUGGGUCGACCUUAGGCUAGCACCCCUCCAAAGUGCAAUGGAGGUCACAAGCCUAGGCCAUGGGUCUUUUUGAUCGCCCAUUGACCCCGUCCAGGUAAGUAUGUUAUCUUGUCAGACCAGCUCAUAUUUUAUUCUACAGCAUUUGUUCAUUCUCUAUUUGUAUUGGCCGAUGUGGGAUUAAUCAACUAAUGAAGAAAGAGAAAACACUCUCUUUCUCAUUUAAAAGAUCUUUUUCUAAGUAUGUCUUCUCAACCCUUAAAUGUGUUCCCUUUUUAUGAAAUAUAAUAUUACAACGUGAAGAAAAAUAACAUCAUAAUGUUUAUUGUAUUCUCUAUAAAAUUACAAUCAGUGCUUAUAUCUUGUAGUAGCUGGACUCCAAAAGGUAAUACAAAAAGAAACCAUAAGACUAGAAAAGUGCACAAUGGCACUAAUAAAAUUCUGAAGUUCAAACUUUCAAAUAAAGAAUUACUAAUCAGAAAUGCGGAUCGUAGAAUUAUAAUGCCAGUAUAUUUCAUACGAUCAUAUGAUAGGGUACAGGAGAGUAAGUAAUAAAAUAAAUACACAUAUAGAUAACAAAAUAUGAGCAAUUUUGAACUUAACACAAGCCAUUAUAUGGCAAUCCGAUCCUCAUAACUAGCUUGUGAGGUUGAGACAAAACGAAGGUCAUUGGACGACAAAAUUUAAGCUAUCAAAGGAUGUCAAUUCUUUUCCUUGGCGAGAAACACUAUAAAUACGUCCAUAUCCUAAAGCAAGAAUCUUUCUUAGUUGAGUCAGUAACAUUUUUGUAUAUUGUAUAAUUUAAGUGCUAAAAUAUAUACUAAUUAAGCAAUGUAAAGCAAGGCCCGUUAAGAAAUUUAGACUAAAUUUGAUGGGGUGCGCAUGGCCCUUGUAGUAGUGCAACACAUGAGCAACGCUUGAGAGCCCAGAUAGCAAGCUACCUUAAUGGACUUUCCCCUUAAAAAAUAGAGUUAAUAUCGUGUGAGUCGAUGACCCACAUAUCAGAUAUUAAACUGAUAAGAACAGAUACUACACUUGAUCUUAGCCAAAAGGCCGAGAAAGGUAUGCUUUAUUUUGUGCACGGCCUUCGGCUUUUAUAUUAUUUCUCUCCUUUCUCGGUUUUGUUAGCUUUCGAUGUGGUAUAUCUGUAGGCCGGAGAAUUUUAUGUUUUCAUAUAUGCGCCUUCUCCUUGCCUGCAAGGGAAAGGAAAAAAGUUAUGAUCUGAAAUUCUGUUCUACCAUGGUAAAUUUUUUACUCCCCAUAUUUAUGCCAAGCCAAGUAAUUUAACCAUAGCGGUUUAAAAAUAAAGAGAGAAUACAUAUACGGUCAGGUAUCUCUAUUACCGUAUUGUUAUAUAACUACUAUUAACUAUAAAGUCAAAUUUUUUAUGGAAUCAAUUAUGUUUAUGUUAUAAUAGUAGUAUAUGGAGAAGUUUUAUUAUGUGUCUCACACAACAGAUAUUAGUUGUGUGUGAGACUGUGAGGCUCUUUUUUAUCUCACAAAUUUGUGGACUCCAAUCUUACACUUCUAGGUCCACAAAACUGUGAGAUAAAAAAGAUAUCUCAUACAACUAGUGUCAGUUAUAUGAGACACAUAAUAAAAAAUUUCGCUAUAUAUGUUAUAUGUAACGGUACUUAGCUAUAAUAAUCAAAAACAUUCGGAACUAAUAAGUAUGUUAUAGAGAGGUUUUACUGUAUGUGAUAAAUGGUGUAUGAACGACCGCAGAUGCUGGUAAGUUACGUUCUACCAAUUGGCCGAAAUUAAACCUUGUCAAUUUUCUAAACCUUAAUAAAUACUAGCAAACAUAAACAAAUGGAGAUAUACCAGAGGUAAUUACCCAAAAACCUAACAAUUUUUUUUUUUGCUUUAGCAUUGUUUACAUUAGAUAAGAUAUUUCAUCCUUUUUUUUUUUUGUUUUUCCCCGUCCGAUGUUCGGUAUCUGCAUUGGAGCCCCAAUUAUAUUUGAAUUCCCGCCACGUAGGGUUUUUCCAUACCCAGGACUCGAUCCCGAGUUCUCUAGUUAAGGAAAGAGCAGUCUCAUCCACUGCACCACAUCCUUUGGUAAAACCUAACAUUUGCAAUAACAUACACAUGGCUUUUAACAAUACAAGUAUCACCAAAAUAACGUUUACAUGUAUUGAAUUAAUAACAUAAAUGAGCUAUUACAACUAACAAGAACUAUUGUGGGACUAAAUUUGACAUGCUAUAAUAAGGGUUUAGAUCAAUUCACAACUAAUUAUCUGUUUCACCUUACGAAAGUAGCUUUAGUUGGAGCAUAGUAAAAUCCAUAUCUCAAAUUAAAAAGGCUAGCUAGUGAUAAAAUAAUCAAAGCCAAGAAACAUCAUAAAUAGCUUUGGCGCAAGAUCUCAUAGUAAGUGGAAGCUGCAACAGCAAAGCUAUGAUUUUCAUCAAAAGUAUCAAAAUUUAACUAAAUAAAUACAUAAGUCAGUUAAGAUGGGUCAAUACAUAGUAGUAUAUAUACAUAAAAAUAAUACAUAGUAGUAUAUAUACAUAAAAAAUUAUUUUUAACUGUAUAAACCGUACUCCCUCCGUUUUUAGUGUGACCCAAUUGUCUAUUAAACAAUUUACCUGAUAAAUCACUGCACCCAAUGAAAUAAAUUCACAUAAAAUAUAAUGAGUAUAAUUUUUCAUAUCAACCUUUUACAUAAAAGACACAAUUUUCCAGACAAGAAGGACUGGAGGAAGACAAUUUUCACUUGGGCCGCUGUCAAUUUGAAAUAGGGCAGGAGGCCCAAACGUUUGGACUUAGGAUCGGGUAGGGGCCGCGCGAACGCAGGCCCCUACUACCACAAAUUAUGACGUAGGCUCGGCCACUUGGGCCGACCUUAGGCUAGCACCCCUCCAAAGUGCAAUGGAGGUCACUAGCCUAGGCCAUGGGUCUUGUUGAUCGCCCAUUGACCCC